rnacentral:rRNA from 1 species
AUUGAACGCUAGCGGGAUGCCUUACACAUGCAAGUCGAACGAGUCGCGGACGGGUGAGCAAUAUAUCGGUACGUGCCCAGUAGAGGGGGAUGACUACUCGAAAGCGUGGCUACUCUCGCUUACUAUUGGUGCGGCCGAGAGUGGAUUAGCUAGUGGGGGGGGUAAAGGCUCACCAAGGCGUCGAUCCGGAGCUGGGUUGAGAGGACGACCGGCCACACGGGGACUGAGACACGGCCCAGACUCCGACGGGAGGCAGCAGUGGGGAAUUUUGGACAAUGGGGGAAAGCCUGAUCCAGCCAUGCCGCGUGUAUGAGAAGGCCUUCGGGUUGUAAAGUACUUUUGGCAGAGAAGCGGUAUCUGCAGAAUAAGCACCGGCUAACUACGUGCCAGCAGCCGCGGUAAUUC